rnacentral:rRNA from 1 species
GAGUUUGAUCGUGGCUCAGAGCGAACGCUGGCGGCAUGCUUAACACAUGCAAGUCGCACGGUCGGGGGUAACUCUGGCAGUGGCGGACGGGUGAGUAACGCGUAGGUAUCUAUCCUUGGGUGGGGGACAACCGUGGGAAACUACGGCUAAUACCGCAUGAUGCCUGAGGACCAAAGGCGUAAGUCGCCUGGGGAGGAGCCUGCGUACGAUUAGCUAGUUGGUGGGGUAAAGGCCUACCAAGGCGACGAUCGUUAGCUGGUCUGAGAGGAUGAUCAGCCACACUGGGACUGAGACACGGCCCAGACUCUACGGGAGGCAGCAGUGGGGAAUAUUGGACAAUGGGCGCAAGCCUGAUCCAGCAAUGCCGCGUGUGUGAAGAAGGUCUUCGGAUUGUAAAAGCACUUUCGACGGGACGAUGAUGACGGUACCCGUAGAAGAAGCCCCGGCUAACUUCGUGCCAGCAGCCGCGGUAAC